GACGAACGCUGGCGGCGUGCUUAACACAUGCAAGUCGAGCGGUAAGGCCCUUUCGGGGGUACACGAGCGGCGAACGGGUGAGUAACACGUGGGUGACCUGCCCUCAGCUCUGGGAUAAGCCUGGGAAACCGGGUCUAAUACCGGAUAUGACUCCAUGACGCAUGUUGUGGGGUGGAAAGCCUUGUGCGGCUGAGGAUGGGCCCGCGGCCUAUCAGCUUGUUGGUGGGGUGAUGGCCUACCAAGGCGACGACGGGUAGCCGGCCUGAGAGGGCGACCGGCCACACUGGGACUGAGACACGGCCCAGACUCCGUACGGGAGGCAGCAGGUGGGGAAUCUUGCG
rnacentral:rRNA from 1 species